rnacentral:rRNA from 1 species
GGGGAUAAAUUAAUAAGGGAUUUAUAAUAAAAUUAGUUUUAAUAUGGGGGUGUUAAAGUAUAAAUUUAGAAUAAAUUAUAAGAUUUAUAGUGAAAAGUAUUGUGAAAUAAAUUUGAAAAUAUGAAAAAGAAAUUAUUUUAAAGUAAUUUUUAUUUAGUGUAUCUUGUGUAUCAGAGUUUAUUAAUUAAAGUUUAUUGGUUAAAAAUUUCUCGAAUUAAGAAGAGUUAAUUAAAUAUUUAAGUUAUUGUUGAAUAAAUAUUUAUAAUAUUUAAUUUGAAAUGAAAUGUUAUCGUUUCUUAAGAUAUCUAGUUUUUAUAGAAAAAAAUUUAAUUUUUUUUUUUAUUUUGAUAAAUAAAUUUUAUUUUAUUUAUUAAGGGUAAAAUUUUAUAAUUUAAGGGAUAAGCUUUAAAUUAAAUUUUUAUAAUAAAGGUUAAUAUAUUUGAAAUUUAUAUAAUUUGUAUUUUUAAUUAAUUUUAAUUUAUUAUAAACAAUUUCAUUUAUAAUAAAAUUUUAAUUUAUUUAAAUUUUUAUAUAAAAUUAAAUUUAAAUAAGAAAAAUUUAGAAAUAAUGAUAAAAUUAGUAUAAUAAUAAUAAUAAUAAAUAAUAAAUUUAUUAAAAAUUAAUUAUAAGGAAUUCGGCAAAAAUUAUUUUCACUUGUUUAACAAAAACAUGUCCUUUUGAAUAUGAUUUAAGGUCUAAUCUGCCCACUGAUUAAGUAUUAAUGAGGGCUGCAGUAAUUUGACUGUACAAAGGUAGCAUAAUAAAUAGUCUUUUAAUUGAUGACUGGAAUGAAUGAUUGGAUGAGAAAUAAGCUGUCUCUUAUAUUAUUAAUUAUAAUUUAAUUUUUUUAUAAAAAAGUAAAAAUAAAGUUAAAAGACGAGAAGACCCUAUAGAGUUUGAUAAAUAAUUAUAAUUUAGAUUAUAUAUAAAUUUUAAAUUUAAUUAUAAUAAAUUAUUUUGUUGGGGUGAUAGAAAAAUUAGAUAAACUUUUUUUAAGUUUAAACAUAGAUAAGUGGUUUAUUGAUCCAUAAGUUAUGAUUAAAAGAAAAAAUUACCUUAGGGAUAACAGCGUAAUUUUUUCUUUUAGUUCUUAUAAGAGAAAAAGUUUGCGACCUCGAUGUUGGAUUAAAAUAAAAUUUAAAUGCAAAAGUUUAAAAUUUUGAUCUGUUCGAUCAUUAAAAUUUUACAUGAUCUGAGUUCAAACCGGUGUGAGCCAGGUUGGUUUCUAUCUUUAAUAAAUUAGAAUAUUUUAGUACGAAAGGAUUGAAUAUUUGAAUUAAAUUUUAAUUAUGAAUUUUAUUAAUUAGAAUAAAA